rnacentral:rRNA from 1 species
UACAGAGGGUGCAAGCGUUAAUCGGAAUUACUGGGCGUAAAGCGUGCGUAGACGGUUACAUAAGUCGGGUGUGAAAGCCCCGGGCUCAACCUGGGAAUUGCAUUCGAGACUGCGUAGCUAGGGUGCGGAAGAGGGAAGCGGAAUUUCCGGUGUAGCGGUGAAAUUCGUAGAUAUCGAGAGGAACAUCGGUGGCGAAGGCGGCCUUCUGGACAGUGACUGACGCUGAGACGCGAAAGCGUGGGGAGCAAACAGG